rnacentral:sRNA from 1 species
GUCCUUAGCAACCAGCCUUGGUUCCCAGCGGCCCAGAGCGCGGCGAAAUUGUCUUUUAAAGUAUACAUUUUCAAUCUCAUUUUUAUUGGAGCUUUAAAAAAAUACAUGAAGAAUUAAUAGUAAAACUAAAAAAAGAAAUCUGGGUCUGUGCCAGGUUGCAGAUGAACUACCAAGCACCCAGGCAGACUGCUGGAGCCAUUUCAUGAGCUGAAACAUUUCUCUUUAAAGUAUAAACAUUCUUGGUUUGUGUAAUCCACAUACAAACUUGAUUGAAGAACUCAUCUGAAAGACUUUUAUAAAUGACAGUGCAUCAACAGUUGAGCAUGUAUUAACAUGGAGUGGUAUAUUAAUAGGAAGAAGCAUAAUAUAGCACAAAGCAGUCAGUCAAGCUUCUAGUCCAGAAAGUGUAUGAUUUUAUCUGAAGUAAUUUGGAAUAAAUUUACUUGAAAGCAAGCUAUUCUAUAUGAGAAGUUGGGCCAAAUGUUGAUUUGGACAAAAAUGAAUGUAGUAAAGUGGGAAAAAAUCUUGAAGGCUGGCAUCAAAAUAACUCUUAAACAAUGAACUAUUACAGAGAUUUCCACUUGAGUCAUGACUCAUUCCA